rnacentral:rRNA from 1 species
CAGCAGCCGCGGGAAUACGUAGGUCCCGAGCGUUGUCCGGAUUUAUUGGGCGUAAAGCGAGCGCAGGCGGUUAGAUAAGUCUGAAGUUAAAGGCUGUGGCUUAACCAUAGUAUGCUUUGGAAACCGUUUAACUUGAGUGCAGAAGGGGAGAGUGGAAUUCCAUGUGUAGCGGUGAAAUGCGUAGAUAUAUGGAGGAACACCGGUGGCGAAAGCGGCUCUCUGGUCUGUAACUGACGCUGAGGCUCGAAAGCGUGGGGAGCAAACAGGAUUAGAUACCCCCGUAGUCCCUGUCUCUUAUACA